ensembl:lncRNA
CGGGAGGCUGAGGCUCGCACUCCGCUUGCUCGCGCUCGCGCACAGGCGCUCGCACCCGGCCCUGCGCGCCGCCCGCGCUCACCUGCAUUUCCUUAACGAGCCACUUGAUGGCUGCGGCGGCGCGGCCGCGGUGGGCAGGACCGGCGGGGGGCGGCGGGCUGCUGAGGCGAAGGAGACCCGAGUCCGGAUGGCCAGGCCCGGCCUCGACCUCGGGCUGGGCGCGGAGAGCACUUGCCGGCAACCGGACGCCUGGCAGCGUCAGGCCAGUGUCUUUGGCUCUUCAUUAGUGACCCAUCCUCUACCAAGCACCCUGUUCAGCCUCCCUGAAGCCACUGUGUGCACAAAUCCAAAAAGUUUCAAAGGAACACACUAACCAAGUUUGGAAACCCCAGCUGGCUGCAUCACCACACCUUCUUCAGAUGAUUACUGCUGAAUGCUUCAGUGCCUGAUUCGAUAAUGUUUUGUUGUCUAUUUCUUCCUAUUUACUCAUCUACUUUGUCUUGCUAUGGAUGGAAUAAGGCCACUUAUUCAAAACAAAAAAUAAGGCUCUCAUGGACCAUUCUCUGGACUUAGAGAAGAAAAAUCUAAUAUAGAGAGUUAAACGAAUUAGUAAAAAACUUCCCUUAUUUUAAAGGGGUUGCAUAACACCUUAACCAUGCUUCAUUUUGCCUUAGUCCUAAUUAAAGUGAAAUUAGCAAAUUAAUGUCUCAUCUUGUUUAAAACAUUUUAUAAGACUAAAUUUUGAGGGAUCAGUUAUUUUCCAAAUGUCGGCAAAUAUUCAUACUGCAAUAAAAUUUGGAAAGAUUAGCUCAUUCAUUGUUUCACUUUACAAAACUGUUCCUACUCUGGAAAGGAACAAAAUGAUCACAGAAUAGUCCCUAAGAAAAUUAGCUCAAGAAUGUUCAAAUAUGUGAUCUUUAAAUGUUUUUGUACAAUAUAUUGAUUUUCUAAGUUCAUUUAAAUGAUUCAAAAUUGUGCUCCAGUAAAUUACUUCAGAAAUUAAAUUAUAAUUUUCUAAGUAAAUGGAAUAUGAAUAAAAUUAUCCGUAUUAACUAUCCAAUAUCCAAUUUUAAAAAAAAUGAAAAGUGUAAUAUUUGUUCUACUUUUCUACUUUCCACCUGAAGAUGUAAAUCUCUUUAGAAAGCCAAUGCUGUAACAGGAAAGGGUUACAUUUCUUUCUUUUUCUAUAUGUUCUUUUUGGAGUUUUUCUGAGUACAAGAUGCUUUUCAGGGUAACAAUUCUUCUUGGUAAAGGAGUCCUGAGACAAAGAACUGAAUUUUCCUGUUACAAGUUGCCAGUUUCCUAAGUGGUUUUAGUGGUUUGAACAUUUUUUUCAAGAGUGAAGAAGAGAAACCACCAAACUCUAUCACAUAGACCCUCGAGGAGCCAUCAGACUCAAGUGGCUUUCCGUCACCAGGAACCUCAGCUCUAGAAACACAGAUUUUACUUUUUGGAUUAUUUUUCCUUUUCUGUUUUCUUCCUCAUCUUAAUGUUUACAAGCAAAUUCAUACAUUAAAAUGCCAAAAUAGUUAAUCGAGUAUUUUAAGGCUGAAUGGUGUUCAACAGUAUCAAUGUCUGGUCUAUUGGGGUAAGCAUCUUGUUCUCAUUUUAAAUGUGAGUCAGCAAUGACAACUCACUUUUGUAUACUGAAUGGUGAGUGAUUACUUUUGUGAAAGAUGCACUUUCCUGAGAAUUAGCUGUGAUAGGCACAGAUAAAUGAAGGUUACACAAGAAAGCUAGGGUUAAAUACUCUUAUUUUCAAACACUACAUAUUCUAUUUUCCAGUUAUUUAAUUUAGGAUAAACAUUUCAGUUUCCUUAGAAGUGCAUUUGCUUCACUUCUUUCUAUAUAAAAUUUCUCCUCCAUGAAACAUAUAUAAUAUAUGUUCUUCAGGUUUCCUUGUAUAAAUGACAUGAGCUUAUAUAUCCUAAAUUCUGUUUCCUUUAAUGUACAUAGAACGUGGACAAUGAAUUUGACCCCUAAGUCAAACAAGUAUUUUUAUAUUACAAUACUGUAAACCCUGCACUCUGUGAUAAAUGCCUUUUGAAGUAUAUGUAAAAAGGGGGGAGGGGAUCUGACUCCAGGAAAUUUAGCAUUUCUCUGCUGAAAAAUAAAUUUGAUGAAUUUAUUUCUUUUACAUUUCAAUAGCUCUUUUGAAAAGUAGCCCACAAAGAGACAAUGUGAAACAAAAAGGAAUGCAAUUUUUUAAAAUAAAACACAGAGCAUUUUUUCUUUCUUUCUUUUUAUUUAUUUAUUUGUUUGUUUAUUUAUUUUGGUUUUUCGAGACAGAGUUUCUCUGUGGCUUUGGAGGCUGACCUAGAACUAGCUCUUGUAGACCAGGCUGGUCUCGAACUCACAGAGAACCACCUACCUCUGCCUCCCCCUCCCGAGUGCUGGGAUUAAAGGCAUGCGCCACCACCACCAGGCUAACACUGACCAUUUUUAUGCAAAUAUAUACUGUACUUUGAGCAUGUCUCUCACUCCAAUAUUCCACUAAACUAAAACAAUCAAAACAUUUACAAAUGUGCCAUGGAUUAUGAUUUUGUACCAAAAAAGAUACCAUUAAUUCCAAGAAUUUAAUAAUUUUGAAAACAUUACAAGAGCUAUGAACCAAAGGUUCUGUGAGAAAGAAAUUUUAUUAAGAACAGUGUUAUAGAGAAAUGUGAUUGCAAUUUGAAUAAUAAAAGGAAAAUUCAGUCUG